AACAGGAUUAGAUACCCUGGUAGUCCAUGCCGUAAACGAUGUCUACUAGCCGUUGGGGCCUUUGAGGCUUUAGUGGCGCAGCUAACGCGAUAAGUAGACCGCCUGGGGAGUACGGUCGCAAGACUAAAACUCAAAUGAAUUGACGGGGGCCCGCACAAGCGGUGGAGCAUGUGGUUUAAUUCGAUGCAACGCGAAGAACCUUACCUGGUCUUGACAUAGUAAGAACUUUCCAGAGAUGGAUUGGUGCCUUCGGGAACUUACAUACAGGUGCUGCAUGGCUGUCGUCAGCUCGUGUCGUGAGAUGUUGGGUUAAGUCCCGCAACGAGCGCAACCCUUUUCCUUAUUUGCCAGCACUUCGGGUGGGAACUUUAAGGAUACUGCCAGUGACAAACUGGAGGAAGGCGGGGACGACGUCAAGUCAUCAUGGCCCUUACGACCAGGGCUACACACGUGCUACAAUGGUCGGUACAAAGGGUUGCUACCUAGCGAUAGGAUGCUAAUCUCAAAAAGCCGAUCGUAGUCCGGAUUGGAGUCUGCAACUCGACUCCAUGAAGUCGGAAUCACUAGUAAUCGCGGAUCAGAAUGCCGCGGUGAAUACGUUCCCGGGCCUUGUACACACCGCCCGUCACACCAUGGGAGUUUGUUGCACCAGAAGUAGGUAGUCUAACCGUAAGGAGGACGCUUACCACGGUGUGGCCGAUGACUGGGGUGAAGUCGUAACAAGGUAACC
rnacentral:rRNA from 1 species